CUGAAGGGAACCCCACUUCGGAGCCUGGAGCACAGGGCUUGCUCCCCUCAGCACUGCAGCACCAGGACCCUGAGACAGGUGAGCACCUCAUUAUCCUCCCCCACCCUGCCCAGACUUCUGGAAGGCCUCCACUUCGCCCCCACAAGUGCUGCCCUUCCUGGUCCUGGACAACUGGAAACAUAAUACAUCAGGUCCUCUGCUAUGCUGAAGUCCUGGAGGGUGUGGGGAAGGCUGGACAUGUGGGCCCUGGUGCAGCAGCCGCAAGAUGGAGGGAAAUGUGUGGGGUGCCAGGGGCCCUGAUGCUAAUAAAGAAUGGACUCUGCUUUUC